rnacentral:rRNA from 1 species
UGGGGAAUAUUGCACAAUGGGCGCAAGCCUGAUGCAGCCAUGCCGCGUGUAUGAAGAAGGCCUUCGGGUUGUAAAGUACUUUCAGUCGGGAGGAAGGUGGUAAGGUUAAUAACCUUGGCAAUUGACGUUACCGACAGAAGAAGCACCGGCUAACUCCGUGCCAGCAGCCGCGGUAAUACGGAGGGUGCAAGCGUUAAUCGGAAUUACUGGGCGUAAAGCGCACGCAGGCGGUUGAUUGAGUCAGAUGUGAAAUCCCCGGGCUUAACCCGCGAAUUGCAUCUGAAAAUGGUCAGCUAGAGUCUUGUAGAGGGGGGUAGAAUUCCAGGUGUAGCGGGGAAAUGCGUAGAGAUGUGGAGGAAUACCGGUGGCGAAGGCCGCCCCCUGGACAAAGACUGACGCUCAGGUGCGAAAGCGUGGGGAGCAAACAGG